rnacentral:rRNA from 1 species
UACGGAAGGCAGCAGUGGGGAAUAUUGCACAAUGGGCGAAAGCCUGAUGCAGCUAUGCCGCGUGUAUGAAGAAGGCCUUAGGGUUGUAAAGUACUUUCAUCGGGGAGGAAAAACAAAACUAAUAAUUUUAUUUCUUGACGUUACCCGAAAAAGAAGCACCGGCUAACUCCGUGCCAGCAGCCGCGGUAAUACGGAGGGUGCUAGCGUUAAUCAGAAUUACUGGGCGUAAAGAGCACGUAGGUGGUUUUUUUAAGUCAGAUGUGAAAUCCCUGGGCUUAACCUAGGAACUGCAUUUUGAAACUGAAAUACUAGAGUAUCGUAGAGGGAGGUAGAAUUCUAGGUGUAGCGGUGAAAUGCGUAGAUAUCUGGAGGAAUACCUGUGGCGAAAGCGGCCUCCUAAACGAAUACUGACACUGAGGUGCGAAAGCGUGGGGAGCAAACAGGGAUUAGACUACC